rnacentral:rRNA from 1 species
CACGUAGGAGGCGAGCGUUGUCCGGAAUCAUUGGGCGUAAAGCGCACGUAGGCGGCUUAGCAAGUCGGAUGUGAAAUCCCUCGGCUCAACCAAGGAAGUGCAUCCGAAACUGCUGAGCUUGAGUACUUAAGAGGAUCGCGGAAUUCCCGGUGUAGAGGUGAAAUUCGUAGAUAUCGGGAGGAACACCAGUGGCGAAGGCGGCGAUCUGGGAAGAUACUGACGCUGAGGUGCGAAAGCGUGGGGAGCAAACAGG